rnacentral:rRNA from 1 species
GAGUUUGAUCAUGGCUCAGAUUGAACGCUGGCGGCAUGCCUUACACAUGCAAGUCGAACGGCAGCACGGGAGCUUGCUCCUGGGUGGCGAGUGGCGAACGGGUGAGUAAUGCAUCGGAACGUAUCCUGGAGUGGGGGAUAACGUAGCGAAAGUUACGCUAAUACCGUCAUAUUCUGUGAGCAGGAAAGCGGGGGACCUUCGGGCCUCGCGCUCUUGGAGCGGCCGAUGUCGGAUUAGCUAGUUGGUGAGGUAAAGGCUCACCAAGGCGACGAUCCGUAGCAGGUCUGAGAGGAUGAUCUGCCACACUGGAACUGAGACACGGUCCAGACUCCUACGGGA